rnacentral:rRNA from 1 species
AGUCGCGGUUAAACCAAGAUGGUCGAAUCAUACACCCACGGUAAAAGAACAGUUAAAUCAAAGAAGUCUAUUAAAUACUAGUAAAAAAGUGAAAUUUGGUAACUGGUAAAAAAUCUAACUUAGGCUAAAAAGUUGAAGCUGUGAAAACCUUGAGGGAAACUGGGAUUAGAUACCCCACUAUUCUUGGAUGUAAAGCGACUCUUGUUCACCGAAGUACUAUGAAUUAGGCGUUUAAAACUUAAAGGGCUUGGCGGUAUUUUAGACCUCUCAGGGGAACCUGUCUCAUAACCGAUAAUCCACGUUAGAACCGACCUUCUUUUGCGCUCAAUUUGUAUACCGUCGUCGUCAGGUAACUUUUUAGAAAAAAGAAGUUAGCAUGUAAACUAAUUUAUAAGUUUAUACGUCAGAUCGAGGUGCAGUUAAUAAGAAGGAGAGGAUGGGUUACAAUUAUAGAUUUAUAACACGGAAUAGUUAUUUGUAACAAAACUAAAAGGAGGACUUGAAAGUAAGAUAUAAUAUAUAAAUGUUCUGAAUGGGGCUCUGAAAUGUGCACACAUCGCCCGC